UACGGAGGAUGCGAGCGUUAUCCGGAUUUAUUGGGUUUAAAGGGUGCGUAGGCGGGCUUUUAAGUCAGCGGUAAAAAUUCGGGGCUCAACCCCGUCCGGCCGUUGAAACUGGGGGCCUUGAGUGGGCGAGAAAAAGGCGGAAUGCGUGGUGUAGCGGUGAAAUGCAUAGAUAUCACGCAGAACCCCGAUUGCGAAGGCAGCCUUCCGGCGCCCUACUGACGCUGAGGCACGAAAGUGCGGGGAUCGAACAGG
rnacentral:rRNA from 1 species